UCCAAAACCACACACAAUGUCUAACUUC
rnacentral:piRNA from 1 species